CCCGCUCAGGACGAACGCUGGCGGCGUGCCUAAUACAUGCAAGUCGAGCGGACAGAUGGGAGCUUGCUCCCUGAUGUUAGCGGCGGACGGGUGAGUAACACGUGGGUAACCUGCCUGUAAGACUGGGAUAACUCCGGGAAACCGGGGCUAAUACCGGAUGCUUGUUUGAACCGCAUGGUUCAAACAUAAAAGGUGGCUUCGGCUACCACUUACAGAUGGACCCGCGGCGCAUUAGCUAGUUGGUGAGGUAAUGGCUCACCAAGGCGACGAUGCGUAGCCGACCUGAGAGGGUGAUCGGCCACACUGGGACUGAGACACGGCCCAGACUCCUACGGGAGGCAGCAGUAGGGAAUCUUCCGCAAUGGACGAAAGUCUGACGGAGCAACGCCGCGUGAGUGAUGAAGGUUUUCGGAUCGUAAAGCUCUGUUGUUAGGGAAGAACAAGUACCGUUCGAAUAGGGCGGUACCUUGACGGUACCUAACCAGAAAGCCACGGCUAACUACGUGCCAGCAGCCGCGGUAAUACGUAGGUGGCAAGCGUUGUCCGGAAUUAUUGGGCGUAAAGGGCUCGCAGGCGGUUUCUUAAGUCUGAUGUGAAAGCCCCCGGCUCAACCGGGGAGGGUCAUUGGAAACUGGGGAACUUGAGUGCAGAAGAGGAGAGUGGAAUUCCACGUGUAGCGGUGAAAUGCGUAGAGAUGUGGAGGAACACCAGUGGCGAAGGCGACUCUCUGGUCUGUAACUGACGCUGAGGAGCGAAAGCGUGGGGAGCGAACAGGAUUAGAUACCCUGGUAGUCCACGCCGUAAACGAUGAGUGCUAAGUGUUAGGGGGUUUCCGCCCCUUAGUGCUGCAGCUAACGCAUUAAGCACUCCGCCUGGGGAGUACGGUCGCAAGACUGAAACUCAAAGGAAUUGACGGGGGCCCGCACAAGCGGUGGAGCAUGUGGUUUAAUUCGAAGCAACGCGAAGAACCUUACCAGGUCUUGACAUCCUCUGACAAUCCUAGAGAUAGGACGUCCCCUUCGGGGGCAGAGUGACAGGUGGUGCAUGGUUGUCGUCAGCUCGUGUCGUGAGAUGUUGGGUUAAGUCCCGCAACGAGCGCAACCCUUGAUCUUAGUUGCCAGCAUUCAGUUGGGCACUCUAAGGUGACUGCCGGUGACAAACCGGAGGAAGGUGGGGAUGACGUCAAAUCAUCAUGCCCCUUAUGACCUGGGCUACACACGUGCUACAAUGGACAGAACAAAGGGCAGCGAAACCGCGAGGUUAAGCCAAUCCCACAAAUCUGUUCUCAGUUCGGAUCGCAGUCUGCAACUCGACUGCGUGAAGCUGGAAUCGCUAGUAAUCGCGGAUCAGCAUGCCGGGGAAAAACCUUUCCCCGGGCCUUUGUACACACCGCCCGUCACACCACGAGAGUUUGUAACACCCGAAGUCGGUGAGGUAACCUUUUAGGAGCCAGCCGCCGAAGGUGGGACAGAUGAUUG
rnacentral:rRNA from 1 species